GAUAGGCUGUCAUCACUACUACAACAUCUGCCUAUGCAUCCUUGAAUAUAAACAGGUACUUAAAAGCACAGCAUUGACAACAACAAAAAAUGCUUUCCUUUUGGCUUGAAAGAAGGCAAUAAGAAGAAAGAUUUUAGGAGCUGAGCUGGAAAUUAAGAAGAAAGCCUCAAGGUUCUGUGAGCAUGAACCUACUUAAGGGGUCUUGCCUCCAAGACAGUAUUUAGGAGAACUACAAUACAACCUCUACCAUACAUCAGAUGUCUGAGUCCUGAGCUCUGUUCUGUUCCACUGGUCAAUUUGUCUUCCUGCACCAAGACAAUACU
rnacentral:lncRNA from 1 species